rnacentral:lncRNA from 1 species
CCCACAUUGAAGGAGUGUGCUGAGAACAGUAGCAAUCAUAUCUAGGCUUGAUCAAGAGUUCAUGUUAACCAAAAAUUUGUAUUAUUUUUCAAAUACAUGGGCAACUUUCUGGAGAAUGUGAUAAAGGAAACAUUUUACAAGUCUUAGAAGGAGCUGAGGGUCAGUGAAGGUCAAACACUGGAAUUAAAAAGCAUCCUGGGAGAGAUGAAGAUAUGGAGGCUCAAAGAGUUUCACUCACUUAACCUAACGUCACCCAGUUGGUAAGCAGCAGAAUGGACACUUUGUCUGUUUGGCGCCAAAGCCCAUGAUCCUGCAUUCCACGUGGGCCCUGGGGACGGUGCACUUCGGCAGGGCUGGGAUCAACGGAGGUGAAUGAGGCAAGCAUGAGGAUUACACAUCUCUGCUCCCCUUGUAGUCCGGAGAGGCCAUGUGACUAGGUCUGACCUAUGGGUGGUGAACAGCGGUGAUCCUGUUAUUUCUGAGCUGAUGCAUUUGAUUUGAUUUAGAUUGAUCUAAAGGCCUCCACCAUUCUCUCCUGCACACUGACUGAGGAGGCAGCAUGUCCCAGAUGGUAAAGCUACAGGAUGGUGGCAUCUCUGUCUGCCUGGAUUGCUGAGUCACAACAUGGAGGGCAGCUGCUCUAGAAGUGACCCAGACCUGCAGUGGGUAUUGUAUGCAUGGGGAAUCAACUUUGGUUGUGUCGAGUCAUCAAUGUCUUGAUAUGGCUUGUUCCCAAACCAUUCCCUCACCUAGUCUGACUAAUACUAUUGAAAAGCUGAAAUUUUAAAAAUCUGAUUAAAAGAAAAAACUAUCAAUACUGAAAGUAAAUUACAAAAAUGAGGAAAAAAAUUGUGCUGUUGUCAAAUGCAGAUUAUACAUGGUUUAAUUUUUGGCACGUAAGGUCUAGCGUUCAGAGGAGCAUCCAAGAAACUUUAUGAGCAUAACAUGCUGAUGGGAAUUUUAUCCAUUUGGCAGAAGUCAGAGCAAAAUUUGAUAAUAUUAUGGCAGAACAUUUAUGCAUGAUAUAAAUAUUGACACCAAAUAAUAUUGCACCUAUUUAGGGAAUGAAAUACAAAACCAAAUAAUUAAAAUUGUAGCAGAUGUAAUGAAUAAAAUCAGUGUGAAUAAGGUAAGAAG